rnacentral:tRNA from 1 species
GAUGAAAUGGCUGAGUGGUUAAGCACCAAUUUGCUAAAUUGAAGGAAUAAAAAAUUCCAUAGGGGUUCAAAUCCCCUUUUCAUCC